rnacentral:rRNA from 1 species
AAAUUAACUAGAUUAGUAUUAGAUAAGUUCUUGAAAAUUAAAAAAUUUGGCGGUAUUUUAGUCUAUUCAGAGGAACCUGUUCUGUAAUUGAUAAUCCACGAUUAGAUUAACUUAUUUUAUUUAGUUUGUAUAUCGUUGUAGGUUGAAUAUUUUUUUAGAAUUUAAAUAUUCAUAAUUUAGGAUAAUAAAAUAAAUCAAAUCAAGAUGCAGUUUAUAAAUAAGUAGAAAUGGGUUACAAUAAAAUUAUUUAAGAUGGAUAUUUAAUUUAAAAUUUAAUAGAAAGUGGAUUUGGAAGUAAUUUUAUAUUUAUUUAUAAAAUGAUAAAAGCUCUAAAAUAUGU